GCAUGCAGAGUUGCAUUUGCUGCCUUGGCUCUGCAUCCCCUGUGUUCUGGUUAUUUCGUGACCCUUACCCAGGGACCCGAACGCUCUAGACGUUCACAGUGGUAUAUGAUCAUUACUGUGUUAUUAUGGAAUUUGAUAUUUGACCAUUUUAUUGAAAAUCUUAUAACUAUGUUAAGGGAAGAAUUUGCUUGGUAGUUUUAUCAUUUUCUUUGUAUCCUUUUCAACUUGUGGAGGAAAGAAAUACUGAAUUUGCAGAAUGAGUUUGGAAGUAUUCCUUCCCUUUCUAUUAUAUGGAAUGUCUUUUAAAAUCUGGAAAAAAAAUAUCAACAAAUCUAUUCAUUUCUGGGAAUUUCUUUGCUGGGAGAUUUUGUAGCUAUUUCAGUCUCAUUACUUAUUAUUGACUGCACAGACUUUUAUGCCUUUGGCUCAAGUCUCAUAGUUCAGAUGUGUCUCAAUAUGUCCACUUAUUCUCCCAUCUCAAAUUUAUUGGGAUAUAAGUUUUCAAAAUAUUUCCUAAAGCUCAUCUGAUUUUCAAUUCUUUUUAUGGUGUAAUAUCGACUUUUUGCAUCUUAUUAUAUUCAUGGGGCUCUUUAAUUUGAUUUCUUAUUCACUUACCUCAGCUCUUAUCUUUUUUAUUUAUUUCCUUCUACUGGAAUAAGGUUUGGAUUGUUCUUACAUUUCUAAAUUUUUAAAAUGUAACUAAUUAGUUUUUUUUUUUUAAGAACUAAUGUUUUAAACAUUCUGUCAUAGCAAUGAUAGAAUAGCUUUUGCUUUUUUUUUCACAGAAUGUGUAACAUUGUUCUUGCUUGCAUUUAAAUUGAAAAUUUUAAAAUAUUCCCUUGAUUUCUUAACCCUCAAUUGUGCAAAACUAUGUUAUACAAUCUCCAUACAUUUUUCACUCUUUUCAUUUCUCUUGCUAUUGAUUUUUAGUUUCAUUUAAUUAUGGUCUGAUGAGAAGAAAGCUUUAAAUUUUAUUAGACUAGCAAAGAAAUUCUUUAUGACCUAAAUGAAGUCAGUUUGGGGAAAAGUUUUAUAAACUGGUACAAAGACUGUGUAUUCUAUAGCUAAUGGAUGGAAUGCUCUAUAGCUGUCUAUAAAGUCUAUUUGAUCAAUAGUAUGAAUUCAUUCUAAAUAUUUUUGACUUUUUUAUUGAAAUGAUUGGUCUAUUGAUGAAAGUGGGGAUGUGCAGCAACCCACUAAUAUUGAAUUGGGGAGUAUUUCUCCCUUUUUA
rnacentral:lncRNA from 1 species